rnacentral:rRNA from 1 species
AUACGGAGGGUGCAAGCGUUAUUCGGAAUCACAGGGCGUAAAGGACGCGUAGGCGGGUUGGCAAGUCAGAUGUGAAAUCCUACAGCUUAACUGUAGAACUGCAUUUGAAACUGCUAACCUAGAGUAUGGGAGGGGGAGAUGGAAUUAGUGGUGUAGGGGUAAAAUCCGUAGAUAUCACUAGGAAUACCGAAAGCGAAGGCGAUCUCCUGGAACAUAACUGACGCUAAGGCGUGAAAGCGUGGGGAGCAAACAGGAUUAGAUACCCUAGUAGUCC